CGUAGGUGGCGAGCGUUGUCCGGAUUUACUGGGCGUAAAGAGCGCGCAGGCGGUCGUGCAAGUCGCGUGUGAAAGCCCCCGGCUCAACUGGGGAGGGUCACGCGAUACUGCUCGACUCGAAGGCAGGAGAGGGAAGUGGAAUUCCCGGUGUAGUGGUGAAAUGCGUAGAUAUCGGGAGGAACACCAGUGGCGAAGGCGACUUCCUGGCCUGUUCUUGACGCUGAGGCGCGAAAGCUAGGGUAGCAAACGGGAUUAGAUACCCCGGUAGCCCUAGCCGUAAACGAUGGACACUAGGUGUUGGUGGUAUCAACCCCGCCAGUGCCGAAGCUAACGCAUUAAGUGUCCCGCCUGGGGAGUACGGCCGCAAGGCUA
rnacentral:rRNA from 1 species